UACAGAGGUCUCAAGCGUUGUUCGGAUUCAUUGGGCGUAAAGGGUGUGUAGGUGGCGCCGUAAGUCGGGUGUGAAAUUUCGGAGCUUAACUCCGAAACUGCAUUCGAUACUGCGGUGCUUGAGGACUGGAGAGGAGACUGGAAUUCAUGGUGUAGCAGUGAAAAUGCGUAGAGAUCAUGAGGAAGACCAGUGGCGAAGGCGGGGUCUCUGGACAGUUCCUGACACUGAGGCACGAAGGCCAGGGGAGCAAACGGG
rnacentral:rRNA from 1 species